CUACAGCAACCCCACACAGGGUAAUUUGGAACACAACUGCCUCCUUGGUGGGGAUGUGAAUCAUGGAAGAGCUGGUCUCCCACAUCCACUAGGUUCUCUCCAGAAAUGCCUGUUUGCAUCUGGGCAAUGUACAUGUUUUCACUGCUGGCUGUUUAGUUUGCACUCAUGUACACGGCGUGACUAAUGUGGAAUAGCAGGAACCUGCAAUUUUGAGAGCAGCUCCCUUAGUGGCCAGAGGUACCCCACUCUUCUGCCAGUCCACAGACAGCAGCGAGUGAGCAGAAUGAGGAUUUGCUGCUCCAAGGCUUCAGCCACUCUUCCAAGCUCUUCUGUUCUUCUUGGAUACAUCUGUUGGUGCACCAGGACUGGAGGUGGAAGAAGUAGGAGAGAGGGCAUGAGACAGCUGUGUCCAGAAGAUGUACUAAUGCUGGCUACACAGCACCAAAGACCAUAUGAUCAUCUCCAUUCAAACAGAAAGCAGCUACAUACAGCCCCCCACACAUCUUCUCUGGGCAUGGAAACUGGGCUGAGAAAACUUAUAUCCAAAGAAAAGGAGAGAAAUCAUUAUUUACCUAUGGAUAUGUAACGUGAAGAAAUCUGAUCAUAAACAUGUAACCACCCAGCAGACCUCAGUACAAGAAAUAAGGAUAAUUUGCCUUAAAACACACAAGUGUGAUUAAUUAAAUUUAGUUAUCUAGCAGAUAGGUGACUAAUGUAAAUUUUCAUCAGAAUUCCUUGACAAGCAAUGGAUAAAGACCCUUCCACAGUAUAUAUCAUCCUAUUUCAAUGUAAAUGUUUACAGUAAGUGGGAUGAAUAACACUCUAAAGAUGUAUACCUUCAUAUAGACUCCAUCCAGAGAGACUAGAUAAUUCAUUUAGACUAGGCACCUAAAUUGCAGAUAACUAAAAGUAAGGGAGUUGGAUCUUGCCCUGAAUGCCUGUCUGAACAAAGAAUACUUCUCAAGUUACUUAGAAAAUGAAUGCCACAGUGCUUCAGAAGGGUUAUGAUUACUCACAAUCCUUUGUAGGCUUCAUAACCUGCUGUGCUUUGUCCAGGAACUGCUGCAGACUGUGCAGAAACUCACAUAACAGGGCAUCCCAUGUUUGUCAGAGAGAGCAAAGCACCUGAGUGCUGGGUCUGGAGCUUACCUGGAGCUCCCAGAUGGACCUGAACUAACCAAGCAUGGCUAAGACCUGCUCUUAGUUCUGCUCCUUUGGGGGAAGAGGAUUUGUCAGCAGUAACAGCAAUGGACUUCCAAUGCCACAGUGCUGAGCAAGCAAGCA
rnacentral:lncRNA from 1 species